rnacentral:rRNA from 1 species
AACGUAGGUGGCAAGCGUUAUCCGGAUUUACUGGGCGUAAAGGGUGUGCAGGCGGGGUUGCAAGUGGUGUAUGAAAUCUCCCGGCUUAACCGGGAGGGGUUAUGCCAGACUGCAAUUCUAGAGGACGAGAGAGGGGGGUGGAAUUCCGGGUGUAGUGGUGAAAUGCGCAGAUAUCAGGAGGAACACCGAUGGCGAAGGCAGGUCUCUGGGCAUUAACUGACGCUGAGGAGCGAAAGCAUGGGGAGCGAACAGG